UCAAUGGAGAUUUUUUUGUUUGCAAAUAAUAUUUAGUGGGUGUCAUUUGGAGUGUAUCAUCUAUGGCUCCAGUCACCACAAUAGGCAAGAAUACAUCUAAAUGCUGCAAUCUAACCAGUUUAUUUUGCAAGAAUGGAAUUAAGUGGAACAUGACAAUACUAAGACUUAGGUUGAAACUGCCAUAACCAAAAAAUGAAUUAGGCUGGUAAAAGAGAAUAAAAGCCAGGAAUCUUGUCAAAAUCACCCCUUUAUGGAGGCAGAUAUGAAGGAAAUUAGUUGUUAAGGAAUAAAAGGAGAAAUGUCACCUGAGACAGGUAAAGGAGGCUGGGCCUCAGCACAUGGAGGAGGGGUGUUUCCAUGUGCUUAGGCCCAACCUCCUUUACCUCCUUCCCAACUCUCAUUAACAGCAAAAGUAGCUUCAUUCUUUCUUGCCUUCAUCAAGGCAAAAGUAGCUGUCAGACUUGUGAAUCAACAAAAGUAGAAUGAGUCUUGAAAUUUGCUUGCUCCAUGAAUUAUCCAAGAUCCAGACUUGAGUCUGGUAAUUUUGGCAUGACAGUUUAGUUGAGAAGGAUGUGGCUCUGGAAUCUUGACAGGGACCGGUUUGGCUCUCUGACUACUUUUCUAUCUGUCAUUUUAAUUGCAAGUAAUUCUUUCCGGAAUCAAAUCUCGAUGGUAAAGUAGUGGUACUGAAACUCUCAAAUCAGGAAAAUAACUAUGGAUUACACAAGCAUUGUGGAGAGUCUCCAGGGUAGAAAAACAUCAGUAACAUCGUCUAAUAUUUCCUUUCCAUCCAUGGAAAAAAGAGUCCAGUUGUCUUCUGAAAAAAGAAAAGAAAAAGCUUGUUUGAAAGAACCAUGACUUGGAGGACUGAGAAUCUCCAGACACUAUUCCAGCAAAGCACGGCUAGCGUCAUGUUACUGUCACAUGACUUAUCGUGAUGUUUUUCUCCCUUCAUGGAGUUGGAGUGGGUGUGGCCUGCGCCUGAUGCAUCCGGCCCCCAGUUUGACACCCCUGCAAGUCUAGAGGGACUCUACAGUGAGUGACUCUGGAAGGAGAAGAGCCAAUCAUCACCCACAAUAAAGCCAUCUGGAAAUCAAUUUUGCCUUCAUUCUAAUCAAGGUCUCUAACUAUAGUAUGUAAGUUUUAUAUAUAAAAAAAUACUACUGCUACCCGUAUUUCUUUCUUCUCUAAGAAAAGGCAACAUAAUUGUUGUGGAACUGUUGUGGCCCAGCAGGAGCCGUUGGAGCUGCCACCCGACUCCGACAGCGAGGGGCCC